GGCUCAGGAUGAACGCUGGCGGUAUGCUUAACACAUGCAAGUCGAACGGGAAUCUUAGGAUUCUAGUGGCGGACGGGUGAGUAACGCGUGAGAAUUUGGCUUCAGGUCGGGGACAACAGUUGGAAACGACUGCUAAUACCGGAUAUGCCGGAAGGUGAAAGAUUUAUUGCCUGAAGAUAAGCUCGCGUCUGAUUAGCUAGUUGGUGGGGUAAGAGCCUACCAAGGCGACGGUCAGUAGCUGGUCUGAGAGGAUGAUCAGCCACACUGGGACUGAGACACGGCCCAGACUCCUACGGGAGGCAGCAGUGGGGAAUUUUCCGCAAUGGGCGAAAGCCUGACGGAGCAAUACCGCGUGAGGGAGGAAGGCUCUUGGGUCGUAAACCUCUUUUCUCAGGGAAGAAAAAAAUGACGGUACCUGAGGAAUAAGCAUCGGCUAACUCCGUGCCAGCAGCCGCGGUAAUACGGAGGAUGCAAGCGUUAUCCGGAAUGAUUGGGCGUAAAGGGUCUGUAGGUGGUGCUGUAAGUCUGCUGUUAAAGAGUCACGCUCAACGUGAUAAAAGCGGUGGAAACUACAGGACUAGAGUGCGGUCGGGGCAGAAGGAAUUCCUGGUGUAGCGGUGAAAUGCGUAGAUAUCAGGAAGAACACCGGUGGCGAAAGCGUUCUGCUAGUCCGCAACUGACACUGAGGGACGAAAGCUAGGGGAGCGAAUGGGAUUAGAUACCCCAGUAGUCCUAGCCGUAAACGAUGGAUACUAGGCGUGGCUUGUAUCGACCCGAGCCGUGCCGGAGCUAACGCGUUAAGUAUCCCGCCUGGGGAGUACGCACGCAAGGUUGAAACU
rnacentral:rRNA from 1 species